rnacentral:piRNA from 1 species
UAAGCGUCCACUCCAUAUUUAAAAAUGA